UACGGGGGGGGGCAAGCGUUGUUCGGAAUUACUGGGCGUAAAGGGCUCGUAGGCGGCCAACUAAGUCGGAUGUGAAAUCCCCAGGCUCAACCUGGGAACUGCAUCCGAUACUGGAUGGCUUGAAUUCGGGAGAGGGAUGCAGAAUUCCAGGUGUAGCGGUGAAAUGCGUAGAUAUCUGGAGGAAUACCGGUGGCGAAGGCGGCAUCCUGGACCGACAUUGACGCUGAGGAGCGAAAGCUAGGGGAGCAAACGGGG
rnacentral:rRNA from 1 species